GUCCGACAUAGCAGGAAGCGCUAAUUUCAUCCACGUCAAUUACUUUGAUGAACGCUCAUACUGUUCAGGGUGCGAGAACAAGAUAAAAGAAUUACUGAAAUAAAAAGCAUACACCCGCCUGCAUGGCCCCCUCCCCUCUGGCCCCCACCCCGGAGCCCUGCAGGGCCGUGGGGCUGGGCUGCCCGCACGCAGCCAGCUGGGUGGUGAUGGGGCGGAUGAGACUGCCUUGGGUUCAAAAGGAGGAGAUUUGGGAUGGAGACAUGGCAGGACCACCCCCUGCAAUUGAACGCAGAGCCUCUCAGGGCAGAUGGAAGGAGAACGCCUCCGCUGUGGUCAGUCCCUGAAGACAAAGUGGAUGCUGCUGGCACACUGGAAUGACGGCACGGGUUUGCUGACGGUUUUGCAUGGGAGCAUCGGUUGGGUUUACACCUACAAGUGCUUGGCUAUGGCAGCGGGGCAUCCCAUGGAAAGGCCAAAAAGCAGCAGAGAGAUCCAGGGAAGGAGGAGAUGGCACACGCUGCAAGCCUGUUCUCUGCCAGCGACGCUGCUGGGAGCACGGACACCCAUAGUGGAGCCAGCAGCUGGGGACAGCUCACAGGAGAGGAAAAAAAUGGAGCCAAGGAUGGCACUGUCUCUUUAAAAAUAAAUAAAUAGAUAAAGACUAAAAAAAAAAAAAGAAAGAAAAAAUGCAAUAAGUAUAUGCAAAUGUGUUGAGCCGAACAUCGCUGUCUGUGAAACAGAUGAGGGAGAAAGUGCUUGAAGCUAGAGAGGAAUGAGGCAGCCAGCGCUGACCCCGGGG
ensembl:lncRNA